CGAUAGCGGCGUCGAGCGGCGGACGGGUGAGUAAUGCCUAGGAAAUUGCCCUGAUGUGGGGGAUAACCAUUGGAAACGAUGGCUAAUACCGCAUGAUGCCUACGGGCCAAAGAGGGGGACCUUCGGGCCUCUCGCGUCAGGAUAUGCCUAGGUGGGAUUAGCUAGUUGGUGAGGUAAGGGCUCACCAAGGCGACGAUCCCUAGCUGGUCUGAGAGGAUGAUCAGCCACACUGGAACUGAGACACGGUCCAGACUCCUACGGGAGGCAGCAGUGGGGAAUAUUGCACAAUGGGCGCAAGCCUGAUGCAGCCAUGCCGCGUGUGUGAAGAAGGCCUUCGGGUUGUAAAGCACUUUCAGUCGUGAGGAAGGUAGUGUAGUUAAUAGCUGCAUUAUUUGACGUUAGCGACAGAAGAAGCACCGGCUAACUCCGUGCCAGCAGCCGCGGUAAUACGGAGGGUGCGAGCGUUAAUCGGAAUUACUGGGCGUAAAGCGCAUGCAGGUGGUUUGUUAAGUCAGAUGUGAAAGCCCGGGGCUCAACCUCGGAAUUGCAUUUGAAACUGGCAGACUAGAGUACUGUAGAGGGGGGUAGAAUUUCAGGUGUAGCGGUGAAAUGCGUAGAGAUCUGAAGGAAUACCGGUGGCGAAGGCGGCCCCCUGGACAGAUACUGACACUCAGAUGCGAAAGCGUGGGGAGCAAACAGGAUUAGAUACCCUGGUAGUCCACGCCGUAAACGAUGUCUACUUGGAGGUUGUGGCCUUGAGCCGUGGCUUUCGGAGCUAACGCGUUAAGUAGACCGCCUGGGGAGUACGGUCGCAAGAUUAAAACUCAAAUGAAUUGACGGGGGGCCCGCACAAGCGGUGGAGCAUGUGGGUUUAAUUCGAUGCAACGCGAAG
rnacentral:rRNA from 1 species